UUAUGACUUGCUUGAGAAAAAACUGUUAGCUGAAAAAACAAAGCAAAGACAGCAGGAGGCACUUUUGACUGAGAAUCCACUGUUUGAUCUUGAGGAGCCACCAUCUCCCAUUAAAAGGCACGUGAAGUGGAAAAUGGCUCGAACAAAACGAUAUGGCCAUAUGACAUCAAAGGCGGCACAAGAAAUUUCGGAUAGAAUUGACUCGUUAGAAGAGCAGAUGACGCAAGGUAGUUUUGUUCCCCAUGGUUGGGAUGACAUCUUGAAUACGACCAUUGGGCGACCGGAACAUCCAGGUCGAGUUCGUGCAACGGGAUUUGGUAUGACCCUUACUCAAUUUUAUGGUAGGGCAACACGUACCUCGAGUAGUUCCUCAGCAACACUAAUGCAGCAACAAUGGGUUGACAUUAUUGGAAACAUAAAGGAACAAGUAAGGAAUGAAUAUGAAGAACAACACAAGAGGAGUCUGGAGGAAUUUAAGAAGGAGUUGUCCAGUCAGAUCUUCAUUUAGUUAAGUCAGAUGGGAUCACAAUACUCUCCCCUUAUUGAGGUGGAUUUACUGGCAUUGGCUGCAUGUCUUAGCACUAAAGGAAGUAAUGUAGAAACUGCUGAUGUUGACCCAUCAGGCAGCAAAUAUGUGAGUUUAAAACCCACUAUGGGGUUAUACGUGCAACGACAACAUACUACGGUGUUGGUGGCAUUUGGGAAAAUAUGUGAGGGGGGGUCUUCCAUUCACAAUGUCACUUAUGCUGAUGAUGUUGUAAGGGUGAGUGUUAUAGAAGGUGACGCCGAAGUGCCCUUCUCGACAUCAGAGAUUCAAUAUGUCAGGCAGGCUCUUCAAUCAUUCAUUGCAUGGCCAACAAAUCUUGUGAAAAAAAUGUCACAUGAGGUUUUUGGAUGAGUGGAGGACAACUUUGGGUCAUGCUUCCGUGUAUGGAUUCCUUUAGCCACAAUCGAUACACCAUGCAAAGGACCGACGUGCUGAAUGUGAGCAUUACUUACAAGCAUGGCUCAAGGAAUCUCAAUGAGAGGUGUACCUAGGAGCUUACUUAAAUCAGGGCCAUUGGCAACUUGUAGUACUGUGUCCUGCGACCAAUGUUGUUGCAUGGUUUUGUUCGUUACGUAAGAAGCCUGAUACUCAUAUCAAAAUUGCAAUUAACAAUGCAAUGAAGACAACAAACACAACUAAGGAUGGUACAAAUAAUCAAGGAACUCCUAAGUGGAUUGAAGUCAAGAGCCAUGUUCAAAGUGGAGGGUAUGAGUGUGGCUAUUACGUGAUGCAUUGGAUGUGGAACAUCGUUAGUGGGGGUUUAAAGAAUGAUUGGAGCAUGUGGUUUCUUGAUGGAACGACGUUAGACAACAAAACAAUUACAACAAUUCGUCAGAAAUGGGCAGUAUAUUUUCUUAAAGUUCAAAGCAAUCAAUGUACAAAGUCCUAGUUGACAUAGGAAAUUUUUUGGUUAU